ACAGUCUCAGUUCGGAUUGAAGGCUGAAAUUCGCCUUCAUGAAGCCGGAAUUGCUAGUAAUGGCAGGUCAGCAUACUGCCGUGAAUACGUUCCCGGGCCUUGUACACACCGCCCGUCACACCAUGAGAGUUGGGGAUACCCGAAGCCUGUGAGCUAACUUUUAGAGGCAGCAGUCGAAGGUAGAAUCAAUGAUUGGGGUGAAGUCGUAACAAGGUAUC
rnacentral:rRNA from 1 species